GACGAACGCUGGCGGCGUGCUUAACACAUGCAAGUCGAACGGAAAGGCCCUGCUUUUGUGGGGUGCUCGAGUGGCGAACGGGUGAGUAACACGUGAGUAACCUGCCCUUGACUUUGGGAUAACUUCAGGAAACUGGGGCUAAUACCGGAUAGGAGCUCCUGCUGCAUGGUGGGGGUUGGAAAGUUUCGGCGGUUGGGGAUGGACUCGCGGCUUAUCAGCUUGUUGGUGGGGUAGUGGCUUACCAAGGCUUUGACGGGUAGCCGGCCUGAGAGGGUGACCGGCCACAUUGGGAGUGAGAUACGGCCCAGAGGCCUACGGGAGGAAGCAGUGGGGAAUAUUGGACAAUGGGCGGAAGCCUGAUGCAGCCACGCCGCGUGCGGGAUGACGGCCGUCGGGUUGUAAAGCGCAUGCGCCUGUGACGAAGCGUGAGCGACGGGAAUGGGUAAAGAAGAAACGGCUAACUACGCG
rnacentral:rRNA from 1 species